GAAAUCUACAAUGAAAUUCCUGGUCUUGAUUAGUAUUUUGAGUGUGCUCAUGCAAAGAACAAGGGAGGCAGAGGAAGAUUUGAACACACCCAGGAGGGAAAACCUUGGGAAGCACAGAACAGACAGAGGUUUGAUGGUGCAUUCCUUGAAGACUGGAAUGAUGCAGAGGCAAGUUAAAGAACGCUAGCAGCCACAGGAAGAAGCUGGAAGAGCCAGAGCUCUCCAAAAGCCUAUCGAGGGGUUCAUGGCCCUGCCAAUACAUUAAUUUCAGCCCAGUAAAGCUGAUUUUCGACCUCCAGAACUGUAAGAGAAUGAAUUUUUGUUGGCUUAUACCUCCAACUUAUUGAGAAUUUGUUGCAACAAAAAAAUGAAGAUAGCCAUCAUGUUUAACUUCAUGCCAGUUUGUGUGUCUUCUAAUUUCUAAUAAAGUUCUAAUUCCAUGUA